GGGUUGUGAGGUUAAGCGACUAAGCGUACACGGUGGAUGCCCUGGCAGUCAGAGGCGAUGAAGGACGUGCUAAUCUGCGAUAAGCGCCGGUAAGGUGAUAUGAACCGUUAUAACCGGCGAUUUCCGAAUGGGGAAACCCAGUGUGAUUCGUCACACUAUCAUUAACUGAAUCCAUAGGUUAAUGAGGCGAACCGGGGGAACUGAAACAUCUAAGUACCCCGAGGAAAAGAAAUCAACCGAGAUUCCCCCAGUAGCGGCGAGCGAACGGGGAGGAGCCCAGAGCCUGAAUCAGCAUGUGUGUUAGUGGAAGCGUCUGGAAAGGCGCGCGAUACAGGGUGACAGCCCCGUACACAAAAGCGCAUGUGCUGUGAGCUCGAUGAGUAGGGCGGGACACGUGGUAUCCUGUCUGAAUAUGGGGGGACCAUCCUCCAAGGCUAAAUACUCCUGACUGACCGAUAGUGAACCAGUACCGUGAGGGAAAGGCGAAAAGAACCCCGGCGAGGGGAGUGAAAAAGAACCUGAAACCGUGUACGUACAAGCAGUGGGAGCACAGGUUUACCUGUGUGACUGCGUACCUUUUGUAUAAUGGGUCAGCGACUUAUAUUCUGUAGCAAGGUUAACCGUAUAGGGGAGCCGUAGGGAAACCGAGUCUUAACCGGGCGUUAAGUUGCAGGGUAUAGACCCGAAACCCGGUGAUCUAGCCAUGGGCAGGUUGAAGGUUGGGUAACACUAACUGGAGGACCGAACCGACUAAUGUUGAAAAAUUAGCGGAUGACCUGUGGCUGGGGGUGAAAGGCCAAUCAAACCGGGAGAUAGCUGGUUCUCCCCGAAAGCUAUUUAGGUAGCGCCUCGUGAAUUCAUCUCCGGGGGUAGAGCACUGUUUCGGCUAGGGGGCCAUCCCGGCUUACCAACCCGAUGCAAACUGCGAAUACCGGAGAAUGUUAUCACGGGAGACACACGGCGGGUGCUAACGUCCGUCGUGAAGAGGGAAACAACCCAGACCGCCAGCUAAGGUCCCAAAGUCAUGGUUAAGUGGGAAACGAUGUGGGAAGGCCCAGACAGCCAGGAUGUUGGCUUAGAAGCAGCCAUCAUUUAAAGAAAGCGUAAUAGCUCACUGGUCGAGUCGGCCUGCGCGGAAGAUGUAACGGGGCUAAACCAUGCACCGAAGCUGCGGCAGCGACACUGUGUGUUGUUGGGUAGGGGAGCGUUCUGUAAGCCUGUGAAGGUGUGUCGUGAGGCAUGCUGGAGGUAUCAGAAGUGCGAAUGCUGACAUAAGUAACGAUAAAGCGGGUGAAAAGCCCGCUCGCCGGAAGACCAAGGGUUCCUGUCCAACGUUAAUCGGGGCAGGGUGAGUCGACCCCUAAGGCGAGGCCGAAAGGCGUAGUCGAUGGGAAACGGGUUAAUAUUCCCGUACUUGGUGUUACUGCGAAGGGGGACGGAGAAGGCUAUGUUGGCCGGGCGACGGUUGUCCCGGUUUAAGCGUGUAGGUGUGUGUUCCAGGUAAAUCCGGUUCACUUUAACACUGAGGCGUGACGACGAGGCACUACGGUGCUGAAGCAACAAAUGCCCUGCUUCCAGGAAAAGCCUCUAAGCAUCAGGUAACAUCAAAUCGUACCCCAAACCGACACAGGUGGUCAGGUAGAGAAUACCAAGGCGCUUGAGAGAACUCGGGUGAAGGAACUAGGCAAAAUGGUGCCGUAACUUCGGGAGAAGGCACGCUGACACGUAGGUGAAGUGAUUUACUCAUGGAGCUGAAGUCAGUCGAAGAUACCAGCUGGCUGCAACUGUUUAUUAAAAACACAGCACUGUGCAAACACGAAAGUGGACGUAUACGGUGUGACGCCUGCCCGGUGCCGGAAGGUUAAUUGAUGGGGUCAGCGCAAGCGAAGCUCCUGAUCGAAGCCCCGGUAAACGGCGGCCGUAACUAUAACGGUCCUAAGGUAGCGAAAUUCCUUGUCGGGUAAGUUCCGACCUGCACGAAUGGCGUAAUGAUGGCCAGGCUGUCUCCACCCGAGACUCAGUGAAAUUGAACUCGCUGUGAAGAUGCAGUGUACCCGCGGCAAGACGGAAAGACCCCGUGAACCUUUACUAUAGCUUGACACUGAACAUUGAGCCUUGAUGUGUAGGAUAGGUGGGAGGCUUUGAAGCGUGGACGCCAGUCUGCGUGGAGCCGACCUUGAAAUACCACCCUUUAAUGUUUGAUGUUCUAACGUGGACCCGUAAUCCGGGUUGCGGACAGUGUCUGGUGGGUAGUUUGACUGGGGCGGUCUCCUCCUAAAGAGUAACGGAGGAGCACGAAGGUUGGCUAAUCCUGGUCGGACAUCAGGAGGUUAGUGCAAUGGCAUAAGCCAGCUUGACUGCGAGCGUGACGGCGCGAGCAGGUGCGAAAGCAGGUCAUAGUGAUCCGGUGGUUCUGAAUGGAAGGGCCAUCGCUCAACGGAUAAAAGGUACUCCGGGGAUAACAGGCUGAUACCGCCCAAGAGUUCAUAUCGACGGCGGUGUUUGGCACCUCGAUGUCGGCUCAUCACAUCCUGGGGCUGAAGUAGGUCCCAAGGGUAUGGCUGUUCGCCAUUUAAAGUGGUACGCGAGCUGGGUUUAGAACGUCGUGAGACAGUUCGGUCCCUAUCUGCCGUGGGCGCUGGAGAACUGAGGGGGGCUGCUCCUAGUACGAGAGGACCGGAGUGGACGCAUCACUGGUGUUCGGGUUGUCAUGCCAAUGGCACUGCCCGGUAGCUAAAUGCGGAAGAGAUAAGUGCUGAAAGCAUCUAAGCACGAAACUUGCCCCGAGAUGAGUUCUCCCUGAGACUUAGAGUCUCCUGAAGGAACGUUGAAGACGACGACGUUGAUAGGCCGGGUGUGUAAGCGCAGCGAUGCGUUGAGCUAACCGGUACUAAUGAACCGUGAGGCUUAACCUUACAACGCCGAAG
rnacentral:rRNA from 1 species